CCCUUUCUGUGCUUUGCCCUUGAUUUCCAGCUGGGAGAACACCCUUCUUUGCAGGGGUAGAUGGCUUUGCUGAUCCAGUUUCCAGUGUUUGCCUCAUUCCUGCGACAUCCUUGAGAGCAUUUCUAACACUAGCAAGUGAAAGGAAAACUAAAUGACUGAAUCAUAAUCACCUCAGAAAAAAAGUCACAUGAUUUCAGGGAAACCACUGGGUACACACCGGGGAAGAGCAGGAAGCAAAGUCCCAAGUCUGUUUCUGGGUCAGACCAGCCAGAGCAGGAGGAGGGAGGUUGGUCUGCUUCUCAAGGUGUGAGCUCUGAUUUUUUGAGACGGUGAUGGAAAGAAAAAGUGCUGAAUUAGCCCUCUUUCUGGGAACAAGUGGUCUGAAAAUAUUGGCAAAUGGGCCCUCUGCGCUUGUGCUAGCCAUGGGCGUCGUGGCAGUAGGAAUCGUAGGAAUCAGUGUCUUCUGCUGGAAUAAGGCCAGCAAAAACAAGACCUAUAAAAUGCAUUGACAGGAAUCCUUUCCAAUCUCCUGGCCAGAAGGAGAAGGCUCCACCUUCCUGGGGAAUGUGUGAAGCAACAUGCUAUACACAGCUUAUAUUUUGAUUAUGAACAAAGUCAACUUUUGAGCAAAAUAAAAAUUAAUUAAAUACACAUUGAUUGAGUGCA